UCCUAUGGGAUCCUGAAAGAGGUGCUUUG
rnacentral:piRNA from 1 species